AUCACCGUAGCGAAUUGGAAGACUGGCUUUCAUUUCGAACCACCACGAAUUGCGCGAAGAUGGCACCGCAUGACAUUCGCCGUCCACACAAACGCCCCGCGAUCUCUGAUCAGCAGAAGCGGCGGGAACUUUCUUUGCAACGGCAACAGCAGAAUCGCCGCGAUGCUCAGCAACAAGCUCGUUCCUUAGCCUCCACGCUUCUCUCCCUCUCAUCCUCGUUCAACGAGCCUAGUACCUCCGAGCCGGUGCUGGAAAUUGAACUAAACGAACUCGAAUCAGAAACGGAAUGUUCGACGGAGAUCUUAGCGGAACGUGAGUUUAAUGAGCCUGCUCUGAAGGAACUCGAUGUUCGACAGGCAUCGAAGCUCAAAAGUUCAGAUGCUCGUAAGUGGUUUUCGAAGCAACUGCUACUUCCUGAGUGGAUGAUAGACGUUCCCGAUCGACUUACCGAUGACUGGUACGUGUUUGCAAGGCCUUCCGGUAAACGGUGCUUUGUAGUUUCAUCCAAUGGAACAACGAUCAGUAGGCUACGAAAUGGAUCGAUUCUGCAUCGUUUUCCUUCUGCUCUACCUAACGGAGCAAAGACAAAGAAUGCCUCUGGUUCCGGUCAAACAUAUUCUAUUCUAGAUUGUAUAUUUCAUGAACCAGAUCAAACGUACUACGUCAUUGAUAUGAUUUGUUGGCGAGGAUAUUCUCUUUAUGAUUGCGCAGCCGAGUUUCGGUUCUUCUGGCUCAAUUCCAAGCUCGCUGAAAGUGGAGCUUGUGAACCGCCUUCAUACUAUCACAAGUAUAAAUUCAGUUUGGUACCUGUAUACUCAUGCGAUCAAAAUGGUCUCCAUGCAGCUUAUGCAGGAGAAGCACCUUUUGUCAAGGAUGGUCUAUUAUUUUACAACAAGCACUCCCAUUACCAGCCAGGAAAUACACCGCUUGCUUUGGUCUGGAAGGAUGAGAAUUGCAGUCAAUAUGUUAUUGACACAGAUAGUAAUGGACAAGUUCCAAGCCAACAGCAGCUGGUUUUGGAGCUACAAAGUGAUGGGAAGGUGGCUACAUCAGAUGAUCCUCCUGUGUACUUUGGAUGCUUAGAUGGUGACUUUCUCGGAAAGUUAGGUUUGUCUUCAGGCAAUUUAUUGCGAUUCACCAUUGGUGAUGGAGGGUUAACAAUUGUGGACGGGAAGAUUCAGGGGGCUGAUUUACAAUACAAUGGCAAGGUCAAUCGAGCUCGAGCCUUUGCAGAUAGUUACUCCAAGGGUUCCAAUAUGCUGUAUGUUGUCCAUUAUAUAGCCAAGGAGAUCCUGCAUGAAACUAGGGCAGCUGUCUGUUCAACCAAAUUGAGUAAUACUACUGGGGGUGGUAUUGUUAAUCUUAAUUCGAUACUCGAAAGUUUGAAUCUGUUAGAUUUCGGUAUUCAACGUGGUUCAAGUUGAACGUUGGUGAAUCUUUUGCUGCAAACAACUUCAGUCCUUUUAGAGAUUCAGGUGCUGACCUUUCCAUCGAGGAUUAUUGAGUUGGUUUUACAAUUUACUGUAUAUCCACAGCUAAGCAGGAUCGACAAGCUGAAGGUUGGCUCAACCGAGCCAAAUGUCUCUGGAACAAUCAAUGGAAGUAACGGCAAUCGGUUAUGGAGAUUCUAUAGGUAUAUGCAAAGAGGAGGAGAAAUAGGGAGAAGUUCAAGCAGCCAAAGUUGUGGGUUGACAACUGUCGGGAACACAGGCCAAGACGUCUCUGUAGUCCCUUGAAAUGGUAAACGAAUCAUAAACCUUACCGUCGCUGCUUCUCUUGUACUCGAAGAGCAAAGAGGAGCGGUUGAAUGCUGUCAUCUUUACGAAUCCAUAAUCGAAAUCUCUAUAAAUGCUCCAUUUUGGGAUCUCUUCGGUGAAUGGGGAUAGGUGGCUCCCUGCUCCACCAACCACUACGUGGAUCGUGCCGUUCAUUGUGCCUGAAUACUGAGUUUUUUCCGCGUUCACGCAUUGAUGCUAUCACCACCGCCGUAAAAAAUUUAAUGUUAAUGAAUAAAAGAAAUGAAAUCUGAAGCGGUUAAAAUAGAGAGGCAAAAUUCUAUAAAUUGUCUAAAAUCUUAACACAACUCUAAAUAGAUUUAUAUUUUUGGAAGGUA